rnacentral:rRNA from 1 species
UACGGGGGGGGGCAAGCGUUGUUCGGAAUUACUGGGCGUAAAGGGCUCGUAGGCGGCCAACUAAGUCAUGCGUGAAAUCCCUCGGCUUAACCGGGGAACUGCGUCUGAUACUGGAUGACUUGAGUUCGGGAGAGGGAUGCGGAAUUCCAGGUGUAGCGGUGAAAUGCGUAGAUAUCUGGAGGAACACCGGUGGCGAAGGCGGCAUCCUGGACCGAUACUGACGCUGAGGAGCGAAAGCCAGGGGAGCAAACGGG